CCUAACCACCUAAAGAAAAGAGAGAAAAAGAGAAAAAGGGGAAACCGCCGCUGUUUUGUGUGACAAUUUCCUGGCGAUCCGUAAGGAACCACACGACGUACAACCUAUCAAAGUGAAGCCCCGAUUGUCUUCUUUCUAUAGAGACUAAGUUCAUCCGGAUCGGAGAUCUGUGCCGGGAGAUAUCGCUGUUUCCGUGUCGGGUGUCAAGAUCUGCUUUGUUGCUAAGGUGAGGAUUAGAUCUAGGUUCUUCUUCUUAUUCUUUUAUCUUCUUCUGGUGUGGGAAGUCUAGAUCUGAUAAGUCUAGGUUGUUUUCAUGUGCAUCUAGAUAGAUCCAUGUAUAUAUAUAUAUAAUUAAUAUGAAUUAGGACUCUCAUUAGAGGAAGCACCAGCAUACCUAAUUGUUCAUCCUGCUUUGUGGUUAGUGUUUGGUAAAAAUAGCUAGAUCAGGUGUUCGUCUCGGUGGAGGUGUGCCGAGGUACGGAUUGAUUGCUAGAUUAGUGCCGUCUGUGUGACUGUGGCAUUAAUUCAUCGUCAGGUGGUUAGACGAACAACCAUGCCUGUCUUUGUGACCUGGCAUAGCCUGUCUGUAUGACCUAGCAAUGUUGAGUCUGUCUGUGUGACCUGGUGCCUGUCUUUGUGACCUGGCGAUGUAGAGCCUGUCUGUGUGAUCUGGCGGAGCCUGUCCGUGUGACCUGGCAAGAUUGGACACGCCUCUUUGAUAGUUGUUUGUGCACUUCUAGAGUGCUUGUUUGUUGCUUAUUGGGUUUAUACUUGUCAUAUUGGUUGGAAAUGAUCGAGUGGGAAGAGUGCCUGGUUUGGUUCUCACCGAGUAAUUUCCCCAUAUUACUCACCCCUCUCUUCUAAAUCCAUAUUGCAGGUGAGUCUAAUGAAUGUGAUUGUGAUGAUGUUUGGGAAGAACUAGACGAGUAGCUCUAGUGUGGUGUGUCUUCAGAGAUGGAGGAAGUUUUAUUUGUUUUAAGAACUAUUUCAUAUUUUCUUUUAAGACAAUGUUUUCUAUUUUAUUCGAAUUCAUUUUCAGUAUUUCAUUUUUAAUUGUAAGAC
rnacentral:lncRNA from 1 species